rnacentral:pre_miRNA from 1 species
UGGAGGAACAGACACAGUGGUGGCGGCCAGCUCGGGAGCCCUGGAUUCAGCUCCUGCUGUAACUACGGAGCUCUCGGUCUGCAGGGGCCUGGAUGUUCCAGGCGCGGG